rnacentral:rRNA from 1 species
UACGUAGGGCGCAAGCGUUGUCCGGAAUUAUUGGGCGUAAAGAGCUCGUAGGCGGCUUGUCACGUCGGGUGUGAAAGCCCGGGGCUUAACCCCGGGUCUGCAUUCGAUACGGGCUAGCUAGAGUGUGGUAGGGGAGAUCAGAAUUCCUGGUGUAGCGGUGAAAUGCGCAGAUAUCAGGAGGAACACCGGUGGCGAAGGCGGAUCUCUGGGCCAUUACUGACGCUGAGGAGCGAAAGCGUGGGGAGCGAACAGG